ACGUUGAAGUAAGGUCGCUAAUGGGGGUAAAGAUCUUCAAAGAAAGGGAAACUUGAGUAGACAAACAUUGCAUAGAGAUUCAAAUGCAUAGACUAGCUAAAAUAUCAAACCCCCAUUUGGUUCAGUAAAUCCCACUAGAGUUCGCAGAAUAAAAGUCCUACAUGUAUAUAGAUUAGCGUUUUGAGUCUAGGUGUGAAGAGCCUAAGGCCGGUCGGUAGACUUGCAAAGCCCGUUCGUUCACGGAAGUUGUUAGGAGCAAUCGCUUGUAACAGUCAAAUUGUUAUGAAGCUUCAAUCGACGUGAGGAGGAUAAUAAAAUUCGCUCUAGAAAGAAAUAUUCGUGAACUCAUAAUUUUCCCAUAAUGAACAAACCUCUCAGUAUGCAUUUUUGAGAAAGAAUCGCAAGUACAACUGCUGAUAAUAUCAUUGAGCUUUUAAAAAAUAAAAUAACAUAACCAUAGUAAUGCUUUGUACUAGGAAGCGAGUGACACUAUGGUUAUUUUGGAGUUAAAAAAAAUCCUGAUGAUCUGUUUUGCAAAUACGUUAAUCGCUUCUAUCCAUCGAUCUACCUACAUAUUAUUUUGGUAGAAAACAGAAAAAGUUCUCUGAGGGGGACGCUGUUUAUAUAAGAAAUUUGCCAAGAUGUAUAAAGUAUUA